GGUCAAGUUACUAAGGGCACACAGGGGAUGCCUUGGCGCAGGUAGGCGAUGAAGGACGUGGCAAGCUGCGAUAAGCUCCGAGGAGCCGCUAAGCGGGCUUUGAUCCGGAGAUUUCCGAAUGGGGAAACCCACCAUGGUGAAGCCAUGGUAUCCUCACCUGAAUCCAUAGGGUGAGGAGGCGAACC
rnacentral:rRNA from 1 species